rnacentral:rRNA from 1 species
AUUGAACGCUGGCGGCAGGCCUAACACAUGCAAGUCGAACGAGUGGCGGACGGGUGAGUAAUGUCUGGGAAACUGGCUUAUGGAGGGGGAUAACUACUGGAAACUGUAGCUAAUACCGCAUACCAUCGGAUGAGCCCAGAUGGGAUUAGCUAGUAGGUGGGGUAACGGCGCACCUAGGCGACGAUCCCUAGCUGGUCUGAGAGGAUGACCAGCCACACUGGAACUGAGACACGGCCCAGACUCCUACGGGAGGCAGCAGUGGGGAAUAUUGCACAAUGGGUGCAAGCCUGACGCAGCCAUGCCGCGUGAAUGAAGAAGGCCUUCGGGUUGUAAAGUACUUUCAGCGAGGAGGCGUUAACUACAGAAGAAGCACCGGCUAACUCCGUGCCAGCAGCCGCGGUAAUAC